rnacentral:rRNA from 1 species
UAGUAACGGCGAGUGAAGCGGCAAUAGCUCAAAUUUAAAAUCUGGCUCUGCUCUAGGGUCCGAGUUGUAAUUUGUAGAGGGUGCUUUGGCACUGAUGGCGGUCUAAGUUCCUUGGAACAGGACAUCGCAGAGGGUGAGAAUCCCGUAUGUGGUCGCUGAUCUUUGCCGUGUAAAGCCCCUUCAACGAGUCGAGUUGUUUGGGAAUGCAGCUCUAAAUGGGAGGUAAAUUUCUUCUAAAGCUAAAUAUUGGCCAGAGACCGAUAGCGCACAAGUAGAGUGAUCGAAAGAUGAAAAGCACUUUGGAAAGAGAGUCAAAAAGCACGUGAAAUUGUUGAAAGGGAAGCGCUUGCCGCCAGACUUGCCUGCAGUUGCUCACCUAGGCGUUCAGCCUGGGGCACUCUUCUGCAGGCAGGCCAGCAUCAGUUUGGGCAGCCGGAUAAAGGUCUCUGACACGUUCCUACCUUUGUGUAGGCCAUAUAGGGGAGACGUCAUGCGGUUAGCCUGGACUGAGGUCCGCGCAUUGCUAGGAUGCUGGCGUAAUGGCUGCAAGCGGCCCGUCUUGAAACACGGACCAAGGAGUCUAACAUCUAUGCGAGUGUUUGGGUGUCAAGCCCGAGCGCGCAAUAAACGUGAACGGAGGUGGGAACCCUCUUUGGGGGUGCACCAUCGACCGAUCCUGAUGUCUUCGGAUGGAUUUGAGUAAGAGCAUAGCUGUUGGGACCCGAAAGAUGGUGAACUAUGCUUGAAUAGGGUGAAGCCAGAGGAAACUCUGGUGGAGGCUCGCAGCGGUUCUGACGUGCAAAUCGAUCGUCAAAUUUGGGCAUAGGGGCGAAAGACUAAUCG